rnacentral:rRNA from 1 species
GAUGAACGCUAGCUACAGGCUUAACACAUGCAAGUCGAGGGGUAGCACAGAAGAAGCUUGCUUCUUUGGGUGACGACCGGCGCACGGGUGAGUAACGCGUAUCCGACCUACCCAUAACUCGGGCACAGCCGCUCGAACGAGUGAUUGAUUCCCGAUAUGUCCUUGGAGUAGAUUCAAUGAUGAAAGAUUCAUCGGUUAUGGAUGGGGAUGCGUAAGAUUAGGUAGUAGGCGGGGUAACGGCCCACCUAGCCGACGAUCUUUAGGGGUUCUGAGAGGAAGGUCCCCCACACUGGUACUGAGACACGGACCAGACUCCUACGGGAGGCAGCAGUGAGGAAUAUUGGUCAAUGGGCGGAAGCCUGAACCAGCCAAGUAGCGUGAAGGAUUACAGCCCUACGGGUUUUAAACUUCUUUUAUAUAAGAGUAAUGUGCACUACGUGUAGUGUAUUGCAAGUAUUAUAUGAAUAAGCAUCGGCUAACUCCGUGCCAGCCGCCGCUGUAACAC